GAAGGUCGUUUUGACAUCACCAGCAGUGUAUAUAUUGCCACACUGAUUACUGAAGGUUCUUGAAGCUCGCAUAGACGCAUAUUUCUUAUUUAUAUGAGAUUGACAUAGGCCUCUACGCACUUGUUUGGUUACUCAUUUUGUCUCCAAUAACCCUCCAUGCGGAUGAUAUAUGCCUUAUUUGCCUAGCGUUUUCCUGUACGUAUAUGAUUGAUGACAGAUUCAAUUUAAAGAGGAAUGGUAUGCACCUGGAAGGAUCAAGUAUGAG
rnacentral:lncRNA from 1 species